rnacentral:hammerhead_ribozyme from 1 species
GCACUGCUGAAGAGUCCCACAAUGAAAACGAAACGGCCGUCCAGUGC